CCCCCGCCCCUCGCGAUCCGCUCCCGGGAGAGUCAGGAACUACAUCUCCCAGCCUGCCCCGCGGCGCUUCCGCCCUCUGCAGCCCAGGUACACCAAAGAUUCACAGCCUCUUCUGCUGGAUACUCGGUCCACUCUCUGCAGCCUGGUGACUCCGUUCUCGUGCGGACCUGGAAGGACGAGCCUCUCCAAGAGAAGUGGAAGGGACCCCACACCGUCCUGCUUGUCACCCAUACAGUGACAAAGGUCGAAGGACACAAGAACUGGAUUCAUCACUCUCGACUGAAAGCAGUACCCAUUCCUAAACAGUGGACUGUCCAGCCUGUGGAGAAGACUGCUAACAAUGAUUUGGGACUUAAGCUGUUAUUCAAAAGACAGUAAGGGUCACUGGAAAUGCCUGGUGAUCUUUCUGAACAGCCACAGCAUACUCCCCGCGAGAACCUUGAGCAUUGCUUUUUGCCAAUGAUACCCUGGCCAUAGAGAAACGCAUAAGUUCUGAGCGGUACCAGCUUCGACUGCUGGCUUUGCAGAACCGCCAGGCCCUAGAUUAUGUGUUAGCUUCACGGGGCGGUGUAUGUGCCCUUAUUGGAGAAGAAUGUUGUACCUAUGUCCCAGAGUUUUCACAGGACAUUAACAAGCACAUCUUGUCGGCUAAACAGGCCUUGAACCAGUGGAAGGCCCAGGAAGGGGAACCCACUAUUUUGGAUUCCCUUUGGGGUUGGCUAACUGGUUUAGGGGAACUAGGGGAUAUAGGGGGAAGCAUUGUUCGCAUCUUGCUCACAGGUGUGGUGAUAUGUUUUGUUCUUGUUCUUUUGCUCAUUUGCUGUAAAGUGCUCAUACGUAAGAUUUGUACCUCCCAUACCCCAGAAGUUCCCUUAUACCCUCUCAUUGAUAAUCCUGAUUGCAUGGAGCGUAAUCGCAUUUUGUCUUUAGAGUAUGAGAAAACUCUGACAAAGGUUUGUUGAGUGUUCUCAAAGGAGGGAUUGUUGGGGUCCACUAGGUAUAGCUACCAGGUUACUCGGGAGAGCGGAAGGCCAAAAGUGCCGAUGAAGCUCUUUUGCUCUGGGCCUACCUGAACCACAGUGACUCCAUCUUGGGAACUCUCACCUACUUCUAUGCUAACUGUUUACAUGCUCUGAAGUAGGCUGAAGCAGAAAUGUAAUGUCAGCUUUUUAGCAGAUGGCUGCAGUUUCACUCACACAAGCAGAAAUAAUAGAGAUAAGGAGCGAGGGAAAGGAGGGGUAGUUAGUUUGCAGGCGUCUAAUCCAAGGUCGCAAAGACUGGGAAAGUUUUCUCACAAGCUUAUGUAGAGUUUAUUAUAACAGUUGUCUGGAAGGGAUGAGUAAGGGGAACAGCCAGACAAAGAGAUGUAUGUAAACAGUUUGAAGUAUAAAAGGUAAAAGUUGUUUGUAUUUGUUGCACUUGAUUUGAGACAUGCUGGUCUCCUAGUGCCAUUUCAGAGCUCUGAAAUAAACUUGGCUUGCUUUCUC